rnacentral:rRNA from 1 species
CCUACGGGAGGCUGCAGUGGGGAAUAUUGGACAAUGGGCGAAAGCCUGAUCCAGCCAUGCCGCGUGUGUGAAGAAGGCCUUCGGGUUGUAAAGCACUUUCAGUGGGGAAGAAAGCCUUGGGGCUAAUACCCUCGAGGAAGGACAUCACCCACAGAAGAAGCACCGGCUAUACUCCGUGCCAGCAGCCGCGGUAAUACGGAGGGUGCGAGCGUUAAUCGGAAUUACUGGGCGUAAAGCGCGCGUAGGCGGUCUGAUAAGCCGGUUGUGAAAGCCCCGGGCUCAACCUGGGAACGGCAUCCGGAACUGUCAGGCUAGAGUGCAGGAGAGGAAGGUAGAAUUCCCGGUGUAGCGGUGAAAUGCGUAGAGAUCGGGAGGAAUACCAGUGGCGAAGGCGGCCUUCUGGACUGACACUGACGCUGAGGUGCGAAAGCGUGGGUAGCAAACAGGAUUAGAUACCCGAGUAGUC